UACGAAGGGGGCUAGCGUUGCUCGGAAUCACUGGGCGUAAAGGGCGCGUAGGCGGGGAGGUAAGUCGGGUGUGAAAUCCCUCGGCCCAACUGAGGAACUGCGCCCGAGACUGCUUCUCUUGAGUCCCGGAGAGGAAGAUGGAAUUCCCGGUGUAGCGGUGAAAUGUGUAGAGAUCGGGAGGAACACCGGUGGCGAAGGCGGUCUUCUGGACGGUGACUGACGCUGAGGCGCGAAAGCGUGGGGAGCAAACGGG
rnacentral:rRNA from 1 species